rnacentral:lncRNA from 1 species
CAAAUUCCCGAAACACAAGAUUUGAUCGAAAGGUAUCCCACACACUUUCUUCUUUACACUCAAAAACUAAAACUAAAAUUUCAAUUUGGAUUCAUAGUCACAAACAGAUACAACAUAUUGAGUUCUUAUUACAUACAUUUACACAUCAUCAGGUUUGGCAACCAAUUUCACUCAAUACCAUCUCCAUCACCAGUAACAAUAACCUUACAACAGUUAAAAGCCUCAGACUACUCUCAAAUUGUGGUAAAAAAUCAUACACAAAUGUAACUUCAUGAUUCUACUUGUAAUAACUAUUACUGAGUAUCCAAAAAAUACAUCAGGAUAAAAAAUUUGUUAUAAAGGCUACAAUAUCCGACUUUGUCUUUAAAGAUUGUUGGUUUCAUGUUACCUGCAAUACAUGUGGAAAGUCAACAAAUAAAAAGGGCAACGAUUGGUUCUGCAUAAAACACGGAACUGUCAAUGAUCCCAAGCUUCUGUACGCACUGCUCCAAACGAUACUAUAUUAUUUAUUAUCAGUAACAGUAUGUGCAUAACAACAUUUAUAUUGACAGUUACAAGGUUUCGGCAAUUUAACGGAUAUCACAGACUCAGCAACAAUCUUCAUGACUGACGAGGCCGCGCGUGCCCUAACAAACAUCAGUUCACAAGAUAUCAUCAACAUGUAUCCUAAUGAAGACAUGAACAAGCUACCACCACCACUUCAGAAAUCUAAAGGUUCAACUAAAAAAGUCUAUAUACAAUGUAAAAAUCCAUCCACCGCCAAUAACAUACGCUUUGCAAUCACAUCAACAACCAAUAUUGAAAGUAUAAAGUCCACAUUGACAUCACCAGCAAAUGUACCAGUAACACCAUCAACAACAAUGGAUCAAACAAAUAAACGAAAAACAAAAACGCAAACAACUGCAACAUCACACAGAAGUGGAAAACAACUUUGUUAUGAAGAAACAGGUAAACAACAUCAUACUACCACCUAUAUAGCAAAAGAUAUAUAACCACUUUAUAUCCGUUCACAGAUGAUGCAGCUGAAAGACCCCGUCCAAAACGACAAAGGUACAGAGACUAAGCAAGAAUAACAGACCAACAAGAAGAUGACAGCAUCAGCAUCAACAUGCCCACCCAUCAACAAUAAAAUCACAAUGUCAUCUAUAAAUAUAUGUACAAUGAAACAUAAGACUUCUUUUGUUGUAUUGUUAUAAAUCCACACAAUAACACAUUUAUUUCCAUGUGCAGAGCAUAGGUAUUGCUUAACGCACAUACAUGACAACAAAGACUUUUAAAUUCACUACAUAUUUACCUUUCUCUUCGAUAAACUGUCACCAUUGAUCGAAAAUGCUCCGUUCCUCACUAUUCUCAAUCAUAAGCUCCAGCAAAUCAUAAUUUGAAUCCACCAACUCAACUGUGCCCGUUUCUUUUUGUCAUACGGCUUAAAGGGUUAUUCACAGUACUCCACCGACACCGAAAUUAACAUAUUCGAUCUAUCCUAUUCAAGAAAUUCGUAACAGAUUCUUCGAACGGUAUCUAAAUCUGUUCUCUCAUGCCUCUUACCUUCUUCCAAUUACAUAUGUAAAACGAAAUUAGGGUAGACAUACCAGACCCCUUUCUGAUAAACCAUUUUCGUGAAUAUUGGAGACGAGUAACCCGACUCGGGUUUAAU